UACGUAGGGGGCAAGCGUUGUCCGGAUUUAUUGGGCGUAAAGCGCUCGCAGGUGGUUCGUCGCGUCGUGCGUGAAAGACCCCGGCUCAACUGGGGGAUGUCGUGCGAUACGGGCGGACUGGAGGCCAGUAGGGGGAUGCGGAAUUCCGGGUGUAGUGGUGGAAUGCGUAGAGAUCCGGAGGAACACCAGCGGCGAAGGCGGCAUCCUGGACUGGUCCUGACACUCAGGAGCGCAAGCGUGGGGAGCGAUCCGG
rnacentral:rRNA from 1 species